GUGGGGAAUAUUGGGCAAUGGGGGAAACCCUGACCCAGCAACGCCGCGUGAAGGAAGAAGGCUUUCGGGUUGUAAACUUCUUUUACCAGGGAAAAAGUAUGACGGUACCUGGUGAAUAAGCCACGGCUAACUACGUGCCAGCAGCCGCGGUAAUACGUAGGUGGCGAGCGUUAUCCGGAUUUAUUGGGUGUAAAGGGCGUGUAGGCGGGACAGCAAGUCAGAUGUGAAAACCAGAGGCUCAACCUCUGGCCUGCAUUUGAAACUGUUGUUGUUGAGUGUCGGAGAGGUAAUCGGAAUUCCGUGUGUAGCGGUGAAAUGCGUAGAUAUACGGAGGAACACCAGUGGCGAAGGCGGAUUACUGGACGAUAACUGACGCUGAGGCGCGAAAGCGUGGGGAGCAAACAGGAUUAGAAACCCGGGUAGUCC
rnacentral:rRNA from 1 species